rnacentral:rRNA from 1 species
GUGGGGGAUAUUGCACAAUGGGCGAAAGCCUGAUGCAGCGACGCCGCGUGAGGGAAGACGGUUUUCGGAUUGUAAACCUCUGUCUUCGGGGACGAAACAAGACGGUACCCGAGGAGGAAGCCACGGCUAACUACGUGCCAGCAGCCGCGGUAAUACGUAGGUGGCAAGCGUUGUCCGGAAUUACUGGGUGUAAAGGGAGUGUAGGCGGGGCUUCAAGUCCGUUGUGAAACCGAUCGGCUCAACUGAUCGUUGCGGCGGAAACUGGAGUUCUUGAGUGAGGUAGAGGCAGGCGGAAUUCCCAGUGUAGCGGUGAAAUGCGUAGAUAUUGGGAGGAACACCAGUGGCGAAGGCGGCCUGCUGGGCCUUAACUGACGCUGAGGCUCGAAAGUGUGGGGAGCAAACAGGAUUAGAUACCCCAGUAGUCC